AACGAACGCUGGCGGCAGGCUUAACACAUGCAAGUCGAACGCAUCCUUCGGGGUGAGUGGCAGACGGGUGAGUAACGCGUGGGAACGUGCCCUUCAGUUCGGGAUAACCCAGGGAAACUUGGGCUAAUACCGGAUACGUGCGAGAGCAGAAAGAUUUAUCGCUGAAGGAUCGGCCCGCGUCUGAUUAGCUAGUUGGUGGGGUAAUGGCCCACCAAGGCGACGAUCAGUAGCUGGUCGGAGAGGAUGAUCAGCCGCAUUGGGACUGAGACACGGCCCAAACUCCUACGGGCGGCAGCAGUGGGGAAUAUUGGACAAUGGGCGCAAGCCUGAUCCAGCCAUGCCGCGUGAGUGAUGAAGGCCUUAGGGUUGUAAAGCUCUUUCGUCCGGGACGAUAAUGACGGUACCGGAAGAAGAAGCCCCGGCUAACUUCGUGCCAGCCGCCGCCGUAA
rnacentral:rRNA from 1 species